CAGCAGCCACGGUAAUACGAGGGGGGCAAGCGUUGUUCGGAAUUAUUGGGCGUAAAGGGUGCGUAGGCGGUUUGGCAAGUUUGGUGUGAAAUCUUCGGGCUCAACUCGAAGUCUGCAUCGAAAACUGCCGGGCUUGAGUAUGGGAGAGGUGAGUGGAAUUUCCGGUGUAGCGGUGAAAUGCGUAGAUAUCGGAAGGAACACCUGUGGCGAAAGCGGCUCACUGGACCAUAACUGACGCUGAUGCACGAAAGCUAGGGGAGCAAACAGGAUUAGAUACCCCAGUAGUCCCUGUCUCUUAUAC
rnacentral:rRNA from 1 species